CAGUCAACUAAGGGUGAAGAGAUCAUGUGGAUAGCAUUGGAGAGAAGAGGGGGCUUCAAUUUGGAAUGAUGACAAGAUUUGUCAAGAAGGGGUUUUCAGUUUUUAUCUUUGGAGGAGCUCUUUUUUUGAAGGGAAAAGAAGGAAAUGGAAAAAGGAAUAGAAAGAGAGAAACAGAGAGAGGGUUUUUUUUAGGAAAUCUGGAGAAGAGCAUUCUUUUUCUUUUGGAUUUCUGGAGAAAAAUAAGACAGAGAGAGAGAGUUGCAGGAUGAGAGAACUUGGUUUAGAGAGGGGAUUAGACGGAGAAAGCAGAUUUUUGAGAAGCUGCAGAGGAGGUUUUGAAGAAGAAAAUGGGGAGUUUUUGAGAUUCGGAGCAGACUGUAAAAGGCAAGGGAAGAGAGAAGAUAACAGAGGAGAGGGGGAGGAUUUCAGCUGGUUCUUUGGCUUUGGAGAAAGAGAACUUACCAGUCUUUGGAGAAGAAGAGAGGUGUUCUCAGCCUUCAUUUCUAGAGCUCGGCAAACCGCUGCAUUCCCAUGUGAUUAGAGACCUGCAGGUUACCAGUAUGACUCAAAUUGUGAGGUCAGCAAAACAUUGCUCCGGACUGAGUUUUAAACCACAACUAAGCUGAAAAAAAUCAAUUGGCUCACUAGGGUAUCAUUCGACAUUAUUAUCAAGUCUGUAUUCAUGCCUGAUUCAGCAAGAUUUUCGGCCAUAUGGGACACCCUACCAUCAUAGUGCACCAGAAUCUUUCUCUUUCUAAUCUGUUUGAAGUUGCUGAUGAAUUGGAAAUACCUCAAUGAAGUGUAUGAGAAAGAAAGAAUCGAUCGCCAGAGGAGCUUUGGUUUUGGUAAGAGUUCCAAUGUAUCUGAUGAUUACUUGAAUCUUCAAAAGCAAGGCAGCUUAAGGGGAAAGAAGAGCCAGAAAUGUGUAAAUGGAGCUCAAACUGAGUUCGGUAAUAACAGAUAGUAUAUGACUGGUGAAUCUUUUAGAAUUGAGAAGCAUUCUUUGGGGAUCGUUUAAGUUAGGAUAAGAAAUUAUUAUAUUUCAGGACACUAUAUCAGAACAUGAAGGUCAUGAAGCUUGGGUGUGCAGUUGUAGUUUCAUAUGGCUUUUUAAGUAUUGAAAAUGUAGGGAUUUAAGCAGUGAUAGUUGAAGGAGUAGCACUGGGUGAUAGGAUGGAAAUGGCUCUGUUAUGUGAUCUUCGGAUUUAUGGAGAAUAUUGGGCUUACCAAAAACAGGACUUGCUAUAAUUCCUAGAGCUGAUGGAAUCCAAAGACUUCCAAGAUUGGUUGGAAAGUCAGUUGCAAUAGAAUUCAUAUUUACUAAGUCAAAAAGUUAGUGGCAGGGAUGUGAUGUCAAUAGUUAACUACUGUGUUCCUGCUAGUGAAGCUCAUUUGAAAGCAUUUGAAACUGCUCAGCAUAAAAAUCAGAAGCUACUAAUCAAAGAAACAAUGGCAGUCAGGAAUGAGCACAACUUAUCAACAAAGAAAAUCACAUGGACAUUGAGGUAGUCAUGUUUUUUCAUUAUUCACUUGUUAUCAUGGUGAUCUAGAUGAUCUUCAAUUGCGUCAUUCGGGUUCUUCUAUUUCUACUGGGGUCAUUAGUAAAAAGGAAGAUAAAAAGCAGAGAUCCUAUUAUUUAUCAUGCUGUGAUAUGGUCAGAUCGCUCUCUUUUCGCAUUGCCCAUUUGUUUUGAGAGUCAGGAAAGGCCAUGCUGCUCCCUCAACAAUGUGAUGAUACUCUGAAUGUGUCACCUUCUUCAAAAUCUGAGGUCUCCAUUUUUGCUCUGGACCACAUAAAUUUUGGGGGUUCUGCAAAUCCAUCUGGAUCAGAGGUAUCCAUAUCGACAGAAUGUCUCUCUUUUGGCAAAGUUAUUGAUUUCAUUGAUGGCAUUCUACUGGACAUGCUAGACUCCUAUAAUCGAGUUAUGGUGAAUUGCUUGUAUGGACAUGGGGUGGUUCAGUUAGUUUUGAGUACACUUUGUAGCUGCCAGUCAACUGCUUUUUAUGGUUAACAAAGCUCCUGCUUCACCUAUGGAGACUGAUGAUGGGAAUUCAAAGCAGGAUGGAAAUGAUGAAACCGAUCAUUCAUAGGUUUACAAUCCCUUACCUAGCUAUGGAAAACUAAUGGGCCAUCUGGUGACAUCAUCCUCUAUUUUAUCUCCUUUUACAAAGCACCUGCCUGCCCAACCCCUGAUCAUUGGUGAUAUUCCUUUUCCUCGGGAUGCUGGGACAUUUGUAAAGGCCCUCCAGUUUGGACAAAUCCACAAUUUGCUGAUUGUAGUUAUGAUCUCAUUACAAAAAUCAUUUCUGUUAUUUGGCUCAUCUAUUCUGGAGUCAAAGUGAAAGAUGACAAAUGCAAGGCAGGCGCUUGAUUAACUGGUCCCCCUCCAAAUGAGACAGCUAUUUCAAUAAUUGUAGAGAUGGGUUUUCCAAAAUUUAGAGUAGAAGAGGCUCUGAAGUAAGUUGGAGUAAACAACAUGGAGUUGGGAAUGGAGUGAUUGUUUUCCCACCCAAAGGAAACUCACGAAGAUGAUGAACUUGCUCGUGCACUUACCCUGCCACUUAGGAACCCUGAAUUCGGUACAAAAGGGAAUUUGAGGUUGGUGAAACUGACAUUUUUAAUCAAGAUGAUCUGUUGGCUGAGGGUGUCUCAACACUUGAUGCACAUGCUGAAAUUUUUGUUGGGGUUAGUCAGACUGCAGAUCCCAAAGAAGAGCAGAAUGCUUUUGAAAUUGGUCAGAGGUACAUUGAAAUCGCUGCACUACAGGAGGACUACAUUGUCGUGAAUCCAGCCAAGCAUUUCACCUUUGUUCCCCAUAUAACUGGAGGAUACUCUGCCAAGCAGUUCUGGAACGCUCAAAUAUUUUAAUUGGAUGAAUUCUAAUGCUUCAAUAGCACUCAUCCUAAGAUGAAGACUCAGUUUCUAAUGAAAGAAUGGAGUUUCUGGCAUCCACCUAUACACUGAACGCUGAAACAAUAAUUGCUCCUCUCAUAGAAACAAAUGGUCUUCGCAGCAAACCAAGUGAUCAAGAUGAUGCAGGCUGUAAGAAUUGCCCGGAGGCAUUGCAAAUAGCCAAGCCAGAUGACGAAGCUCUUCUCCAAAAGCUGAGGCAAAUGCUAUUGGAAAUGGGAAAAUCGAAACAAAAAUUAAAAUGCUCUCCGUCUUCUCUCAUGUUCAAAAUUAAAAAGGAUUACAGUAGGCGAUGGAACGAAACUCAUUUGAUAGAAAGGAUUUUAUUUGAAUCAGAACGUAUACUGAGUAGUUUGACAAUGGCUGGUUCUAGCAAUUCUGCACUAAAGCUGGAUCAAAGACUUGCAUCUCAUUGUGAAUCUGUUUCACUUCUUAAAGUAAAAACCGUAUUUGAAGACUGUGCAGUCUGAUAAGAAAUUAGCUGUCUUCAGAGCCAACUUGUCAUCCAAAUCUUAAAGGUUAAGAAAUUCCAGUUAUUUGAGGUGAAGUUAAGAGGCAGUCUUGUCCAUUUUCCAGCAAAGGCAUAACUUAGAAUAAUUCUACAGGUGCUUUGAUCCUAGAAUUUGAGGAGGCAGAUCAUGAUGAAAGAUAAAGCGAAACAUUCAAUGAUGAUUUUUCUUGUGCGAAGAGGAUAUAAUGGUCUUGCUCAAUCUAAAAUAACAUAAACCACAGAAGAGUCCAAACCAUCCUCCAGAAUAGCAAGAUCUCCACAUCUCUACCAACAUGGCAAUCCAUACAUGUUUCAAGAGAGGAGUGAAUAUGCUCAGAACCUAAUUCUCGGGAGGAUGAUUAGUGGCUGCAAGUCAAGGUAGAACUUUAGCUGGAGAGCUAGGUGGCAAUCUUUUGAAAUCUGUCAGUUCUUAUGGUGGACUAACAAGUGGAAUUCCAAGCUGAUUUUUGCUGAGAAAUUUAAAGAUCUCUUCUCUGAUCAUGACAGUUUUAAUGAUAUUUGUCUAGACCAGGAUUUAAUGCCUAGCAUCGCCUGUUCAGAAUUUGGUUAUAAAGGCACGUCUUUAAGCGAGAAACUUCUGCUGAAAAUUCAGAGCAUUGGUAUCUUUCCAAAAUUGGUGCUUGACACAGCAUAGAUGAAGGAAGAAGAAAUCAGUGAAGAUAUUAGGAGAUUGGAAGAAAAGCAUCUCUGACGGGCUUUUCCAAGAUGAAGCAGAUGGGCAGAAUACUAAAGAUAUUGUGCAGAAAUUUAAGGCCAUUUGGGCUUGGUGGCGAAAUAGGGUUGGACAAAACUACAAAUGUAAUGUUAAACCAGUUGCCUCAAUUUUGGAGAGCCUCUCUGUUAGGAAAUGUUGCAUUGACUUCCAAAGAAGAAAUGUCGCAAAGCUUAUGGAGUACUGUUUCAAUUGAUUGAUUGAGCAUUGCAUGCCCUCAAGAUAAAAUGAGCAGUUCCUUCUCUGCACCGUUAGCCCAGCUUGACUAAUGGAAAUCAUUCGGUUUACAGAUUAAAUGCCAUUGUGGAUUAAAAGUAAAAAUGAGAAGCAUAUUUGAUUUU